AUGCAGAGCGCGACGCGGCUGACUCUGCUGCUGUGCGCGGCGUGGGUAGCCGCGCUGCUCUACGGCGAGAUGGGCGCCUACUGGGCCGCCCACCUCUCCUGCUCCUGGCCAUCCGCAUCCUCUUCCUCCCCAUCGCCGAGUAACCAUGUCAAGGUUGCCGUCAUUGCUGAUCCACAGCUUAUGGACAGCACCUCCCUUGGUCUACCACGAAGCUCAGUUGCACUGCAAGCUGCAGAGUUCUUCACAGAUUUGAACAUGAGAAGAUCCUUCCAGUCUGUGAUAUUGCCGUUCAAGCCUGAUGUCGUCUUAUUUCUCGGUGACUAUUUUGAUGGGGGCGCACAUAUAUUGGAUGAAGAGUGGCAGGAUUCUCUAUUCCGAUUUAAGCAUAUAUUCAGCAUGAGCGAACAGAGGACAAGUCCCCAUGUCCCAAUCUACUAUCUUUCAGGAAAUCAUGAUAUCGGUUACUCAGCAUUUCACUCAGUUCAUCCUGAGGUUAUCAGUCGAUACGAAAAAGAAUUUGGACCAAGAAACUUCCAUUUUUUGUCUGGGAAGGUGGACUUUGUUGUUGUUGAUGCUCAAACUCUUGAUGGAGGAGCCAAACAGAGCAAAGAAAGAUCCUCUUCUUGGGAGUUCAUCAAAACGCUAUCAUCUGGUAAUGAAUCAAAUCCAAAAAUUCUACUAACGCACAUUCCCCUGUACCGACCUGACAAUACUCCGUGUGGCCCACAUCGUUCUUCACCUGCUAUUAAUCAGAGGAUAUAUAGCGCUGCUAUGGACCAAGGAAUCAAGUAUCAGAAUUAUCUAAGUAAACAGACUUCCGAUCUUUUGCUAGGGCUGCUGAAGCCGACUCUUGUGCUCUCAGGGCAUGACCACGACCAGUGCACAGUUGUCCACUCCACUCCUUUUGGGCCAGUAACGGAGCACACCCUUGGGACAAUUAGUUGGCAGCAGGGAAAUCUGUAUCCAUCUUUUAUGCUGCUAUCUGCUGGGCCCCGAAAUUCUACUGAUUCUAGUCAGGAGGUUCUGACGAAUCUUUGCUUCCUGCCUAAACAAACUCAUAUCUAUAUCUGGUAUAUCUUUCAGUUUGUGGUUACCGUCCUUCUGCUGAUGUUUUGGCCAACAAAUGGUCUAAGCUCUCUUCCCUACGUGAACACAUUUGUGAGCUUUAUGAGUUCGGCGGGUGCUGACCUGUUUCCAAGAAGCAAAGAAAAAGAUGAUGCGGAAGAUGGCGAAUAUGAAAUGGUUUGGGAUGCAGAGGGAUCCAUGCACCUGGUUAAAAAAGCGGUGGCAAGGCCCCCCAUCACUAACUCAGACUCCAAAACUACAGGACGAGGAAAUGUUGUGGCAAGGCCAACUGCGAGAAAGCACCAACCUGAACCUGAUUCAUCAUCUGUUCAUGUUGAGAUGGGAUCUGAAACGGCGCCAGAAGAUGGAGGGAAGGCGCCUCGCCCGAGCAAAUGGAAAAUAAGGACGGUCCUCCAGAGGCUGUUCCGCGUCGUUCAGUCGGUUGCCAUUAUUGCCGUGCUGAAUGUUCCUCUAUAUAUGAUGCUUCUGUUUAAGGAUUGGGUUGACCGUUGA
rnacentral:rRNA from 1 species